CCGCGCGUGUACAGAGGUUCCGGCGGGUGGCUCCUCUCCGGCUUGAAACCUUAGAGCGGCUUCUUCUUGUCUGCGGCUUCUGACCUGCGAGCAAAGGAAAAAGCAACGAGAUGACAGACCGCUACACCAUCCACAGCCAGUUAGAGCAUCUGCAGUCCAAAUACAUCGGCACCGGCCACGCCGACACCACCAAAUGGGAGUGGCUGGUGAACCAGCACCGCGACUCCUAUUGCUCCUACAUGGGCCACUUCGACCUUCUCAACUACUUUGCCAUUGCCGAGAAUGAGAGCAAAGCGCGAGUCCGCUUCAACUUGAUGGAGAAGAUGCUGCAGCCUUGCGGCCCGCCCGCCGACAAACCGGAGGAGAACUGAGACCUCACCGUCUCACCGCUAGGUCCUUACCCGGGGCGUUCCGUCCGACCUGCCUUCCUGUGGAACAAAGUGUUGGGAGACCCGUCAUAACCCCUGAGAAACUGAACAGUGGAGAGAUCCUAAAGUCUGCAGACGUUAGAGGAGAUAUGGCUGGAGUGAGAUGGGAUUAAGAGGCUCGUUUUUGGCUAGUUGACUGUCUUCGUUGCUUUUUCUAUAAAGUUUAGAAAUGUUUCGGUCUCUUGGUGUGGACUACUUGUGUUCUGGUGGAGGGGCCAAGGAGGGCUCUGGGACUGUGGUUUGCCGGGUGGCGGGGGGUAUAAAGAAGGGAAGGGUUGGGGAGGGGUUCAACAGUAGCACAGGGCCAAAGUUCGUUGCCAGACACUUAAAUACGCUCUUUAUAAUAUUCUCCAACCCUGACUUCUCCUAGGAACUUUUCUCAGGCCCUUAACACAUUCACUAUUGAGGUUUGUGAUCACUGUGUCCUUUUUCUUUCAUACAAAAAAAAAAAAUCUUGACUCGCUUUGCCUUCUCUCUGUAGAUUACACCUCUUUCUUUUGGAAAUACGUGGACAUAUCUUGAGUAUUGACAAACUGUCAAAUUAGUUCUUAAAUUCAUUCAGCAAAUACGUGUUGAAUUUUAUGUGGCAGGCUUUAAGGACCUAUAUUACACUGGUUGGGGGAGCAGAAGACCACAAAAUUUGCAGACAUAAGCAAGCACAUGUUGGAGGGUGCUGUGGAGAAUGAGAGUAGCAGUAGGGUUGCAGUUUUAAGUAGAAUGCUCAGGAGUUCCCAUCCUGGCUCAGCGGAAACAAUCUGACUAGGAUCCAUGAGGAUGCAGGUUUGGUCCCUGACCUCACUGAGUGGGUUAAGGAUCCGGCUUUGCUGUGAGCUGCAAUGUAGCUGGCAGAUACGGCAGGGAUCCUGUGUUGCUGUGGCAUAGGCCAACGGCUACAGCUCUGAUACAGUCCCUAGCCUGAGAACCUCCAUAUGCCACUGGUGUGGCCCUAAAAAAAAAAAUCCGUAAGUAAGAUGUUCAUGUUAAACUAUUGAGAAGGUAACAUUUAAGCAGAGACUUUAAGGAAAUGAGGGAAAUACCAUGCGGAAAACUGGGGAAAUCGUUUCCCAGGUAGAGGGAACUGCCAGUGCAAUGUUCCUACUACAGGGAUUGUGGCAGGCUUAUUGGAAAAACAGCAAACAAACAAGUAUGACUGAAGGGAGUGAGUGAGGCAAAGAGUAGAGGGAUAGAUUAUGGAGGGAAACAGAUAAAAGUAGAGCCUGAUUGGCCAGUGUAAGGACUUGUGGCUUUUACCCUAAAGAGGUGGGGAGCCAUUGGAAGAUUAUUAAGUGAUACAGUCUGACAUAUUUUAGAUCAGUGGGUCUCAAAUGUUUUGGCCUUUGGACAUAAUUACAUUCUUAGAAAUUCUUCAAGACCCCCACAGAGCUUUUGUUUUUGAGAGUAAUAGCUGUUGAUAGUCACCAAGCUAGAAAUUAAAACAGAAAAUUUAAAAUACCUAGUAAUUCAUUUUAAAAUAGCAAUAGUAAAACUAUUACGUGUUAACAACAUUUUUGUGAAAAAUAACUACUUUCCAAAACAAUUUAGUGAGAAGAAUGGUGCCUUAAAAAACAAAACAAAACAGGCGUUCCCAGUGUUGGCCUUGGUAACGAACCUGACUAGCAUCCAUGAGGACUCUGGUUCAAUCCCUGGCCUCUCUCAGUAGAUUAGAGUUCUGGCAUUGCUGUGAGCUGUGGUGUAAGUUGCAGCCAUGAUUGGAGUCUGCGUUGCUGCGACUGGCAUAGGCCAGCAGUUGCAACUUGGACUUGACCCCUACCUGGGGAACUUCCGUAUGCUAUAUGUGCAGACCUGGAAAAAAAAAAAAAAAAAAAAAAGCAGUUUUGCAGAUGACUUCAAUGUCUGGCUUAAUAUAAGACAGCUGAAUUCUUUUUUUUUUUUUUUUUUUGUCUUUUUAGGGCUGAAACUGACAUAUGUGUGUGAAAGCUCCCAGGCUAGGGUUCAAAUGGGAGCUGCAGCUGCUGGCCACAGCCACAGCCACAGCAACGCCAGAUCCAAGCUGCAUCUUCGACCUACACCACAGCUCACCGCAACACCUGAUUCUUAACCCACUGAGCAAGGCCAAGGAUCAGAACCCGCCUUUUCAUGGGUACUAGUAGGUUUAUUGCCACUGAGCCACAAAGGAACUCCAAGACAGCUGGAUUCUUGUAUCUUCUACAUUCAAACUAUUGGGAUAUGAUUUUGGUUGAAGUAUGAAAAAUCCAUGUCACAUAAAUAUAUAGUAAAGGAGAAAUAUUUUAAUAGCUUUUCCAAGUAGUUAUGGAUAUUCUUUUUUUUUUUUUUUUGCAACACCCACAGCAUGUGGAAGUUCCCAGGCCAGGGAUUGAACCUGCACUACAGCAGUGACCAGAGCCACUGCAGUGAGAAGGGAACUCCCCAAUUAUGGAUACUCUUUGAUACAUUAGCAAAGCCCAACAAGUGGUAAUUUCUUAGAAGUUAGUUACAACAUGGAAUCUGAUCAAUGAACUUUUCAUUGUCUAGUACAUUAAAAUUCAUUAAUCUGGAGUUCCUGCUGUGGUGCAGUGGGUUAAUGAUCUGGCUUUUCUCUGUGGAGGUGCUGGUUCAAUCCCUGACCUGGUGCAGUGGGUUUAGGAUCCAGUGUUGCUGUGAGUUGCAGCUCUGGCUUGGAUUCCAUCCCCGGCCCAGGAACUUCCAUAUGCUGUGGGUUUGGCCAUUUAAAAAAAACAAAAUUUUUUUCUCUAAUCUGUCUUUUGCUCAUACAUGAUUUUGUAACAUCUUACAUUGGUCAGUUGGAAAGUUUUGGCUGAGUUAUAGGUGCUGCAUAGAUGUUGACACAUUUCAUUGUAUAUAUCAAAAUAUGUACUUUGUGCAUAUUAUUAGUACUUUGUGCAUAUUAUUAGUAUGCCACUGAUCUCAUCAGGGAAGUCAUACAGUAUUAGAAAGCUGAAAAACUAACAGUGAUGCUAUAAGUUUUCCACAACUUUCAGUUUUUGCUUGAUAGCUUAAAUUUGGCCACUGGUAGCAAAUACUGUCUGUUGCUUUCCUUGAAGUGACAGGCUAACUUAGUUCAUUUUCAAGAAAAUAUCUGUCAAAUACCCAGUUCUAAAUAACCAUAGUUGUUGAUCUUUCAGUAAAGGUGAUCUUCCUUGAGAAAAAAAAGCAGCCAGUUCAGUUUGCAACUCAAAUAAUAGCAAGUGCUUUUUCUGAGAAAACCAUUGUGUUUUGAUAACAGAAAUGCUUUAUGCAUACUACCAAUUUUGCCACAUGAAGAAUGUGUUUUAAAAGAUGUAUCCUCAUAGGCUAAGAUUUCAUAAAAUCAGUACUUUAUAUUGUUUUGUCAAGGACAUUCUUAGGUGAAACUGAGUUGAUAUUUUUGGUUUUGUUUUGGUUUCAUUGAGAAUACAUGGCAGUGGAGAAUCCAAUGACUAUUGUUAGUUUGGUGCCUAUGUGUGUGUGUGUGUGUGUGUGUGUGUAUUUUUUUUUUUCUCCUCUUUUCUGGUUGCCCUGAGGUAUAUGGAGUUCCCAGGCUAGGGAUCAGAUCCGAGCUGGAGUCAUGACUUAAGCUGGAUCCUUAACCCACUGUGCAGGGCCAGGGAUCAAACCUUCGUCCCAGUGCUUCCAAGACGCUGCCAAUCCUGUUGUACCACAGUGGGAACUCCCGGUGCCAUUAUCUUGACUGAUGCUAAGUGCUAGUGCUUUUACUCACUAUUGCUUUUGUACCAUCUAGACAAAUAUUAACAGUGCAAGUGGCAAAUAAAAUCUUAGUAUUAUUAGGAAAAUAGUAUUGACUUCACAGAUGUUCUGAAAUUCCUUUCCCACCAUUUUCACUUGAAAAAAAAACUGAUAUAUUAAACUGUGAUUAUUUAGACUUGAGUAUUUGGCAAAUAUUUUUUCAAAAAAGGAAUGAAAUGGGCCAUCAUUUCCAGGAAAACAACUGAACUGUUUCAGAAGAUCUCUCUGGCUGCUGUGUUGAGAAUUGAUGUAGGUAAUGUGACAGAGUAUAGAUUGUAAUUGUCAGCAAUUAAAUAAAAGUAUCAACACUAAUGCUUUUUCCCCCGUAGAGAGCAGGAGCGAGUCAAAUCCCCAUCCUUUCAAAAUUUGCACAAGAAUGAGCCCCUGUACCUGACUGGAGUCUGUAGCCAUAGACCAAGACAGAGGACAACUUGCAUUGGAAGUAGAGAGGAAGGGACUGGAUAUGUAGUAUGGGGUAACUUAUAUAAAGAAUCAAAGGAGUAAGGUGGACAAUGAGAACAGUAUUUAGACAGAAAUAACCUAAGACCUCCAUGAACUGGCUUGGAUUUAUAUUGUUAGAGUUUACAAAGACAAAGAUUUUGGACUGUUUUUAUUACCUGAUGUAUCUCAAGUGUCUAGAACAGUGCUCAGGACAUCACACGUGUUCCAUAAAUGUCAGGAGUUGAAUAUGUAAAGAUAGGACUUAAUCCAGAAGAUAUACUAAUUCAUGUUGUAGGCAGUCUUCAACUUCACCAAAAUAGGUCAUACCAAAGAAAAGAGACAUUUGAAAACAUGCUUCUUAGAUAGUAAUAAUAGCUAACAUAUGGAUAGUUUUUAUGGUGUGCUAAGUGUUCUAUCUUAAUUCCUCUGGGAGGUAUUUUCUUUGUUUUACAGAUGAAGCAGUUUCAGAAAAGCUAACUGCCCAAGGUCACACAAUUACUAUGUGGCUAAGCCAGGAUUUGAACCAGGUCUUUCUAGUUCCAAAGUACAAAGUCUUAAAUACACUGUUGCCCAAGCAAGUCUAGUAUGUGAAAAUCAUAUCAGAAUAAUUUGAAAUAAGUUAUUGUCUCAGAUAAGAAAUGGAAAUAUUAAAAGUUUAGUAGAUUAUAAUGAAGGAAGGUCAGCCCAAUGUGAAAGUGGCUUAUCUAACGCUAAGUAAAAAAAUGUAAUGUCAAAUAUAUUGAAUAAAGUUGAUUUUAAUGGGGAGAAUGAUAAUUUGUGUGAAAAAAAAAUCCAUUCAAGGAUCUGAAAGUAAACACAUUGCAGUCCAUAUAUAUUUAAUUGAAGCUGUUAUUCUUUUUCUGUUCUGGUAGAAAAUAAUAUUUGUAUCAAACACAGGAGGGCAGCAAAUGAUGCUGUGAUAGAAACUGCUUUUGGAAAGAGCUCUAAACUGGUAGAUUACGCUAACAGGAGAAAAUUAAUUCUUUUUAUAUUUUUUACAGUGAUGUAAUUAGCCACUUUUUGAACUAUAAAGUGAUAAACAUGUUUAUCUUUGACAAAUGUAAUGAAUACUGAAGAUCAAAGUAUUACACUUACAAGAAUGGGACAAGAUAAGGACCCUAGCCUUAAAAGGAUACUAGUUAGGGAAAUACAUAUAGCACCACAGGAAGAACUCCGAUCUGUAAUGGCAAGAGGUGAGUGCUAAAGAAAGAUACAGAAAAAAAGGUGAUAGCGUUUAUACGAAGAGUUUAAAAAUUGCCUUGAUGAUGCGGAUGAGGGCAAUGUUGAGAGACGUUUGAGCAAGACCUUGAGGGGUGGCUGGGAUUUAUAUGUGUUAAGACAAGGGCAAAGGAGUUCCCGGAUAGUCUAGUGGUUAGCAUUCAGCUCUUGCACCACCGUGGUCUGGAUUCAAUACCUGUCCUGAAAACUUAGAUCCCACAUCAAGCUACUACUUGCUGUGGCCAAAAAAAAAAAAAAA
rnacentral:lncRNA from 1 species